rnacentral:rRNA from 1 species
UACGGAGGGUGCAAGCGUUAUCCGGAAUCACUGGGCGUAAAGCGCACGUAGGCGGAUUUGUAAGUCAGGGGUGAAAUCCCGGGGCUCAACCUCGGAACUGCCUUUGAUACUGCAAGUCUUGAGACCGGAAGAGGUGAGUGGAAUUCCUAGUGUAGAGGUGAAAUUCGUAGAUAUUAGGAAGAACACCAGUGGCGAAGGCGGCUCACUGGUCCGGUUCUGACGCUGAGGUGCGAAAGCGUGGGGAGCAAACAGG